GACUCUCGGCAAUGGAUAUCUCGGCUCUUGUCACGAUGAAGAUCGUAGCGAAAUGCGAUACUUAGUGUGAAUUGCAGAAUCCCGUGAAUCAUCGAGUUUUUGAACGUAAUUUGCGCCCGAGGCCUCGGUCGAGGGCACGUCUGUCUGGGCGUCG
rnacentral:rRNA from 1 species